UGGGUUGGUAAAUCUCGUGCCAGCCACCGCGGUUAUACGAGAGGCUCAAAUUGACACUUUCCGGCGUAAAGUGUGAUUAAAGACCAUAAGACACUAAAGCCAAACACCCCCUAAGCUGUCAUACGCAACUGGAGGCUAGAAGUCCCACAACGAAAGUAGCUUUAACAAAUAAAUCUUGAAUUCACGACAGUUAAGAAACAAACUGGGAUUAGAUACCCCACUAUGCUUAACCGUAAACAACGAUGACAACAUACAAACAUCAUCCGCCAGGGGACUACGAGCGCCAGCUUAAAACCCAAAGGACUUGGCGGUGCCUUAAACCCACCUAGAGGAGCCUGUUCUAUAACCGAUAACCCCCGUUAAACCUCACCACCCCUUGUUAACCCCGCCUAUAUACCGCCGUCGCCAGCCUACCUUAUGAAAGUACAACAGUAGGCCAAAUGGGCACCGCCCAAAACGUCAGGUCGAGGUGUAGCGAAUGGAGUGGAAAGAAAUGGGCUACAUUUUCUGUCCCAGAAUAUUACGAAAAGUGUCAUGAAAACAACACUAAUGAAGGUGGAUUUAGCAGUAAAAAGAAAAUAGAGUGUUCUUUUGAAGCCGGCUCUGAGGCGCGUACACACCGCCGUCACCCUCCUA
rnacentral:rRNA from 1 species